rnacentral:rRNA from 1 species
GAUGAACGCUGGCGGCGUGCCUAAUACAUGCAAGUCGAGCGAACGGACGAGAAUCUUGCUUCUCUUAUGUUAUCGGCGGACGGGUGAGGGACACGUAGCUAACCUAUCUAUAAGACUGGAAUAACUUAUGGAAACCGGAGCUAAUGCCGAAUAAUAGUUUGAACUGCAUGGUUGAAAAGGUGAUGACGGUCUUUCUUCUAGUUGUAGAUGAAUCGGCGCUGGAUUAUCUAGUUGUUAAGGUGACGGCUGACUAAGGCAACGAUGAAUAGCCGACCUGAGGGGGUGAUCGGCCACACUGGCACUGAGACUCGGUCCAGGCUCCUACGGGAGGCAGAAGUAGGGAAUCUUACGCAAUGGGAGAGAGCCUGACGGAGCAACGGCGAGUGAGUGAUGAAGGUCUUCGGAUCGUAAAACUAUGUUAUUAGGGAAGAACAUAUGUGCACGUAACUGUGAACAUCGUGACGGUAGCUAAAGAGAAAGCAACGGCUAACUACGUG